GUGGGGAAUAUUGGACAAUGGGCGCAAGCCUGAUCCAGCCAUGCCGCGUGAGUGAUGAAGGCCCUAGGGUUGUAAAGCUCUUUCACCGGAGAAGAUAAUGACGGUAUCCGGAGAAGAAGCCCCGGCUAACUUCGUGCCAGCAGCCGCGGUAAUACGAAGGGGGCUAGCGUUGUUCGGAAUUACUGGGCGUAAAGCGCACGUAGGCGGACAUUUAAGUCAGGGGUGAAAUCCCGGAGCUCAACUCCGGAACUGCCUUUGAUACUGGGUGUCUGGAGUAUGGAAGAGGUGAGUGGAAUUCCGAGUGUAGAGGUGAAAUUCGUAGAUAUUCGGAGGAACACCAGUGGCGAAGGCGGCUCACUGGUCCAUUACUGACGCUGAGGUGCGAAAGCGUGGGGAGCAAACAGGAUUAGAAACCCCGGUAGUCC
rnacentral:rRNA from 1 species